rnacentral:rRNA from 1 species
UACAGAGGUCUCAAGCGUUUGUUCGGAUUCAUUGGGCGUAAAGGGUGUGUAGGUGGCGCGCUAAGUCGGGUGUGAAAUUUCGGAGCUUAACUCCGAAACUGCAUUCGAUACUGGCGUGCUUGAGGACUGGAGAGGAGACUGGAAUUCAUGGUGUAGCAGUGAAAUGCGUAGAGAUCAUGAGGAAGACCAGUGGCGAAGGCGGGUCUCUGGACAGUUCCUGACACUGAGGAGCGAAAGCGUGGGGAGCAAACAGG